GUCAGGGUACAGCAGGAUAAAUUUGGUAUCUCACUAAACCAUAGAGAGGAGUUGAAUACUUGCAGGUCCACAGUGAAGACAGACCUCUGUCCAUCUUGUGGAGAAUGUUUUCGUUCCCAGGAGUCUGGCUUGAAGAUGGUUCUGCUGUUGUAUGUGCAAGAGUUUGUGCUGAGAAGAGGCAGCUGGGACAAGGCUCUGCCCAGCUCCUUGUGCAGUGUCUGCAUGAUGAGGCAGUGGGUGUGCACAGAGGAUUUCAAGCUUCCCACGCCCAGAAACUUGUUCUUCAUCCAGCUCCAGGAAUGUUGAGAGUCCUAAAUUUACUCAGGAGAUCUGUAAGGGAGCCCUUGUAGCUCCUCCUGUGUGUCUGAAGCGUGGGCUGGUUGUUUUUGAAGCAAUAGAAUGUGACAGUCAGAAGCCAGUUAAAAACAAGGGAUUUCAAUACCUGAGCUCAUGUUCCAAGGACUGCAGGCUGAUUAGCUCCUCUUGUCUCCUGGAUCCAAUUACUCACCUGUAAGUAAAGCAUUUCUGAGUCCCCCAAACAGGUUCUGAUAUUAUCAGCGGAUUUAGGCAACUCCAAAUCCUCCCAGUAAUCUGAAGAAGUGGGUUUUCUGUCUUCACCCAGGAGGCAGAUAAAACCUCACCCUCGGUAUGUGCAGUAACACAAAUGUGUGUCACAUCUGCUUUCCUUUUAUAUCUUCUUAUUCUAGUUGACAACAAGAGUCAGAUGUACCAGAUAUGCUUAAUCUGGAAAAGAGUGUCAGCACUAUCAAUUUUUUCUCUGCUUUCAUAUUUCUUGCCCUUUUAAUACUCAAAGCUGCUGAUCUCACUUCUCCUGGCCAUCCUUCUUUUUCCCAUUUCUGUUUCUUUGACUUUAGGCAACUCACUGUGUAUAAACUUGGUUCUUCCAGGAGGAAAAGAAACUACAAUAAUAAAUGAAGCCUGGUAGAUUUUGUGAAGGUGGAAAUAAUGUUGCAGAGGACACGGUGUUUGUGACUGUUGGUACUUCGUGAGGAGCUGCAGGGGACAGAAUAGGCAGGAUGACUUCCAGGACCUGGACACAGGACUGGAAGGAAUGCUGAGUUUGCUGAUAACACUGAAUUGGGAAGAGCUGUUGAUUCCCUGGAGGGCAGAGAGGCCCUGCAGAGAGACCUCAACAAACCAGAGAGAUGAGCCAUCACCAAGUGUUCUCCAGGAGCUCCUGCACGUGCAGCUGAUGUCACCUGACAGCCAAAGCAAACCCUGCACUGGGUGUUUGUUACCCAGAGGGGAGUAAUGGGGUUCAAACACAAACUGCAGGGGUCAGCUGGUUGUGUUGUUGAGCUCAUCAGACAACCACCCCCAUCACCUUCUGUCCAGAGAAGCUUCCCUGUGGCUGGUUGGUAAAUCGUGUGCAAACCUCUAGUGCCUGGUGGGAGGUGUCUGAGUGUCAGACCUGAACACAACUUGCUCCACUUGGCUGUGCUCCUCUAGAAAGUAUUUACAGAAGUUCACUCAAAAUAAAUUACAUUCUGAUCACUUCAAGUUAUUGUAAUUGAGAAGAUGGUCAGAGAAGGGCAGGUAGGAAAUUACCAGGAGCUUGGAGGAUUUGAUUAAUAAGGAAAAUCACUAGAAGGUGCAGAGAGUGAUGGAGGGAGAGAUGGAAUAUAAUCCACUAUAAAUAUUUGAAGAACAAUACUCAAGACAGAAGCAAAGUGAAACAGAGAGGUAUGAAAUAAAUGCAAGGGGGAGGCAGGUUCCUGACAGUGAGAUGUUUCAGGCUGUGUGUGCAGCACCUCAGAGGGACACAUGGCCAGUGGCACAUCUUAAAACUGAACCAAGGGGACAAGGAGUGACACCUCCAGCAGGCAACCCUUUGUGGGGAGGCAAGAGAUGAGGAGUGACUUAGCCAUUCCUGGCAGGAUGCAGCACUGAUAACAUGGCUUUGCUGUUUUGAAGUUGAGGCAUCAGGUGGGUGUGCAAAUGGGAACAAGAGAGUUGAGCAGUUUAGAACCCGUGGAAGGGAACAGCUGGAAACUGCCAAUCCUGAGAUUUCGGGAAAAGUACAGCUUCUGAUUUCAUCUUGAAUUAAAAAAAUGUGCUUUUGUGACAUAAAAUGGAUUUGGAAUUGUGUGUUAGCUGUGAGUGUGUGUUAGAACUGUCCCGGUUGCUCACAGUGCUGUGGCUGUCAGAGGUGUGUGAGAAGCCCCCAAACCACAUUGUAGGAGGAACCCCGUGCUCGCGGGGCUCAGGGUAGGACUGACAACCACUUGCUGACUGCUCAGCACACUUAAUGGAAAACACCUUUCUAAAGCCACUCAAACCACCUCAACCUGCAAACCAGGAGGAUUGCAACAGUUACCUGGCAGUGUGUGACUUCUCUUCGGGCUUCUCCACUCCUGGGUGGGGAAGGUCUCCAGCCAGCCAGGCUCCUGGAGAGCCACAUCUCUGCUCUUCCCUCCUUCAGCCACUUCCUCCGAGUUAAUUCCGUGCAAUCAGGCAACACAAAACGAAAUGGAGAAACUCAUGUCUGUGUGGUAUGUCUUUAUGUUAUAAUGAUUCUCAGUUGUCCAAAAUCCUCGGCAGGAGCACAUCCCAGUAGAUCUAUAGAACUGUCUCCAGGAUUUAGUAUAAAUUCAAUAUUGUCAGCAACAAAGAAUCACAGUGCUCUCAUUGUAUUUGACUUCUAGUGAAGCCAUUACUGGAGUCAUGUCUUUUAUUUAUAUUAACAUGUUGUUAACUGUAAGCUAAUAAAGAUGCAAAAUGCCUGAAAUCAAUUAGGUACAGAUUUAAGGAGUGUACAUAAAGGAAAUUUUCUGAUUUACUUUCCCGUUUGUUGAAUACAGACCUUGCAUUACUUUGAACAUGAAAGCAAUCAAUUGACUCUGUUUAAUUCCAUUAAUUAAUUUCUGCAAUCGUUUUCCUUGCCUCUUUACUUCAGUUUAAAAACACCUGGAUCCCAGUUAGAAAAUUCCCUGAAGUCGUAACAAUUUCAAAUUAGGAGGUUUAUUUAAAAAUAUCAUUUGGGCUCUAAGAGCUUAUUAGUUAAAAACUGUUCCAAGAUAAUCUUCAACUUCACAGAAGGAAUUAAUGUUUUUAAAAGUACUUUUGCUUCUGUUUUUCAUUAAUUUUUGUUUGCUUUUUUAUGAAUCUGUAACUUGAGAA